rnacentral:rRNA from 1 species
UACAGAGGUCUCGAGCGUUAGGCGGAAUCACUGGGCUUAAAGCGUGUGUAGGUGGAUCGUUAAGUACCUUGUGAAAUCCCACGGCUUAACCGUGGAACUGCUUGGUAUACUGGCGGUCUUGAGCCAGCUAGGGGCUACCGGAACAAAUGGUGGAGCGGUGAAAUGCGUAGAUAUCGGGAGGAACACCUGUGGCGAAGGCGGCUCGCUGGGCCGGUCCUGACGCUGAGACGCGAAGGCGUGGGGAGCGAACGGG